AGACAGAUCUCCCAUCCAGUGGUUCACCUCCCAAAUGCCCGUAACAGCCAGGGCUGGAACAGGCCAAGUCCAGGAGUCUGGAUAUCCAUUGCAUCUCCCACACGGGCACCAGGAACCCAAGUACUUGAGCCAUCACUUGCUGCUUCCCGGGGUUCGUGUUAGCAGGAAGUUGGAACCAAGGUGGAACCAGAACUCGAACCGUGGUACUGCGACAUGGGAUGUGGGUGACCCACGCAGCAGCCUACCCACUGUGCCGCAACGCCUGUCCCCUCAAGAAGCUUUUGAGAGUACUACUGGGGAGACUGAAGAUAGCAGUGAGAGAACAAAAGGCUAAUUAUGAAGACACUUCCCUGGCGGAGUGGACAGUGAGAGAGACAGAGAGAAAGGUCUUCCUUUUUCCGUUGGUUCACCGCCCCAAUGGCAGCUGCGGCUGGUGCGCUGUGGCCGGCGCACCGCACCGAUCCGAAGCCAGGAGCCAGGUGUUUCUCUUGGUCUCCCAUGCAGGUGCAGGGCCCAAGCACUUGGGCCAUCCUCCAUUGUACUCCCGGGCCACAGCAGAGAGCUGGACUGGAAGAGGAGCAACUGGGACAGAAUCCGGCACCGCGACUGGGACUAGAACCCGGGGUGCUGGCGCCACAGGCGGAGGAUUAGCCUAGUGACCCGUGGCGCCAGUCCCUACUGACUUCUCUUUAACUGCAUCUGCAUAAAGGAAAAUGUGGAGACAUCUUAGUCUCAACCAUUGUUCCUUCCAUUUCUCCAUAUCUGACUAGUCUCUAAAUCCAAUGUCUAUGAUGGCCUUAUUUCUGCUCUCGCAGAGCUUUGCCAUCUUGGGAAUCUUUGGUGACAUAAGUGUAGACUGUUGUACUCAUCAGAUUCUUCAGGGCCUGGUGUGUGUUUGUUAUGGGUCCAUGCAGGGCCUUUCCUUUGUAUGUGUGGAAGUAUGAGUUCAUUUAUUCUCUCAAUAGUGUAUCUUUUGCACAGACUGCCAGAUUACUCUCUUUUCUUUUCCUGUUACCAAUUUAAUGUACUUGAAAUUUAAUGUAUUUGAAAGCCAGAGACACAAAGACAGAUAGAGAGAUAUCUUUCGCCUGCUGGUUCACUCCUCAAAUACCCACAGAAGCCAGGCAAGGCCAAGUCAAAGGCAGCAGCCAGGAACUCCAUCCAGGUCUCCACCCACGUCCUUGGGUCUUCGUCUGCUGGGUGCACACAAGCAGGAGCCUGGAACUGGGAGUGGAGCUAGGACUGGAGCCCAGGCUCUCUGAUAUGGGAUGUGAGUGUCCACAGUGGCGUCCUAGCCGCUAUGCUGAGUGCCACUCAGAUUUUUUGUUACAGAAGAAUGUUCUCAUCAUGUCCUCCUGGCUGAAAUCCUCAUGACUUACCCUAUAAAUGAUGAACUGCUUUGUGGGCCUUUGAGGCUCCCUGCGAUCUACACCCCUCAAUUUGGGAAGUUAUUUAACUGCCCUGGUUCCAGUUUUACCAACUCUAAAGGCAUCAUUGACACACAAGCACACACACAAUGCCCAAGGGUGCUUCAAGAAGUUCGGGGAAGGGCAGCUUAGGUCGAUCGCUGGGGCUGCUGCAUGGAAGCGAUGGUCUGAGCUUCUCCCCACCUCAGAUCCAGCUCCCUGCUGAUGCACCUGGGAGGCAGCAGAUGAUGCCCAAGUGCUUGGCCCCCUGCCAUCCAUGUGGAGAGCCAGAUGGAGUUUCUGGCUAUGGGCAGACCUAGCUCAGGCUGUUGUGGCAUUUUGGGGAGUGAACCAGUUGAUGGAAGAUCUCUCUCUCUCUCUCUCUCUCUUUCUCUCUCUUUCCCUCUCUGUCACUUUGCCUUUCAAAUAAAAUAAAUCAGUCUUAAAAAAAGAAGGAAGCUCGACUCAGAAGCAGAGCCAGUUCUUGAAUCUCUGAUGUGGGAUGCAGGCAUCCUAAGCAACAUGUUCACUGAUAGGCCAAAUAUCUUGUCCCCCAAGGUAUGUAUGUAUGUAUCUGCCCCCCUAGGCUGGAAAAUAAGGAGAAU